UACGAAGGGAGCUAGCGUUGUUCGGAAUCACUGGGCGUAAAGCGCACGUAGGCGGAUGUGUCAGUCAGGGGUGAAAUCCCGGAGCUCAACUUCGGAACUGCCCUUGAUACAGCACGUCUUGAGUCCGGAAGAGGUGGGUGGAAUUCCGAGUGUAGAGGUGAAAUUCGUAGAUAUUCGGAGGAACACCAGAAGCGAAGGCGGCCAACUGGCCCGAUACUGACGCUGAGGCGCGAAAGCGUGGGGAGCAAACAGG
rnacentral:rRNA from 1 species